rnacentral:rRNA from 1 species
UACGUAGGCAGCAAGCGUUGUUCGGAGUUACUGGGCGUAAAGGGUGUGUAGGCGGUUGCUUAAGUUUGGUGUGAAAUCUCCCGGCUCAACUGGGAGGGUGCGCCGAAUACUGAGUGACUCGAGUGCGGGAGAGGAAAGUGGAAUUCCUGGUGUAGCGGUGAAAUGCGUAGAUAUCGGGAGGAACACCGGUGGUGUAGACGGCUUUCUGGACCGUAACUGACGCUGAAACACGAAAGCGUGGGUAGCAAACAGG